AGUCGAGUUGGGAACCGGUGGGAAACCCCGUAGGUGACUGGCACACGUCGUGGUCUGAAUAAGUUUGAACUAGACCAAACGAGUCUGAGCAGACUGUGUGAUAGUGGUUUGUCGAUGUGUUCUGAACUGAAAACCUGCUAAGAAACUUUGAACAAACGUGGCCAAAGUUGGAUGAAAAUUACAAUUUUUCGACCAUUACGGAUUUUACCUGGUCUGAAGUUGGAGUGUAUUAUUUGACCAUUUUUUGGACAGGUGCGGGAGCUGCCGGCCAUUUGCCCUAGCAGGCGGAGAGAGGUCGUGGAGUGUCAGCCUAUGGUAUCUGAGGUCCAGGAGAGAUGA